rnacentral:rRNA from 1 species
GACGAACGCUGGCGGCGUGCUUAACACAUGCAAGUCGAGCGAGAAACCCUCUUCGGAGGGGGAGUACAGCGGCGAACGGGUGAGUAACACGUGGGCAACCUGCCCCAAGGAGCGGGACAACCCGGGGAAACCCGGGCUAAUACCGCAUGUUCCGCAGCGCCUGAAGGUGCUUCGGGAAAUGGUAGCUUCGGCCUCCGCCUUGGGAUGGGCCCGCGGCGCAUUAGCUUGUUGGUGAGGUAAUGGCUCACCAAGGCGACGAUGCGUAGCUGGUCUGAGAGGACGAUCAGCCACACUGGGACUGAGACACGGCCCAGACUCCUACGGGAGGCAGCAGUGGGGAAUCUUGCGCAAUGGGCGGAAGCCUGACGCAGCAACGCCGCGUGAGGGAAGACGGCCUGG